CCUACGGGUGGCAGCAGUGAGGAAUAUUGGUCAAUGGGCGGGAGCCUGAACCAGCCAAGCCGCGUGCGGGAAGAAGGUACAGCGUAUCGUAAACCUCUUUUGUCAGGGGACAAAGGCGGGGACUAGUCCCCGGAUGAGGGUACCUGAAGAAAAAGCAUCGGCUAACUCCGUGCCAGCAGCCGCGGUAAUACGGAGGAUUCGAGCGUUAUCCGGAUUUAUUGGGUUUAAAGGGUGCGCAGGCGGCCUGUUAAGUCAGGGGUGAAAGGCCCGGGCUUAAACCCGGGCGGGCCGUUGAAACUGGCGGGCUGGAGAUGGAGAGAGGUACGCGGAAUGCGCGGUGUAGCGGUGAAAUGCUUAGAUAUCGCGCAGAACCCCGAUUGCGAAGGCAGCGUACCGGCUCCACACUGACGCUGAGGCACGAAAGCGUGGGUAUCGAACAGGAUUAGAUACCCCUGUAGUC
rnacentral:rRNA from 1 species